rnacentral:sRNA from 1 species
UGACUAUGUAUGUUCCUUGAUGGAGGUUC